GUAAAUGAAGACACACUGAGAUGGCAGGGCAAGCCCUUACCCAUCUAUCUGAUAGAUACAACUCAGGUAGAGAGGAGGGGUUUGCUCCUUCAUCUCACAGCACAACAGCCUUCAC
rnacentral:precursor_RNA from 12 species